rnacentral:rRNA from 1 species
UACGUAGGGUGCAAGCGUUAAUCGGAAUUACUGGGCGUAAAGCGUACGCAGGCGGCUUUGCAAGACAGGUGUGAAAUCCCCGGGCCUAACCUGGGAACUGCAUUUGUGACUGCAUGGCUAGAGUUUGUCAGAGGGGGGUGGAAUUCCACGUGUAGCAGUGAAAUGCGUAGAUAUGUGGAGGAACACCGAUGGCGAAGGCAGCCCCCUGGGAUGUGACUGACGCUCAUGUACGAAAGCCAGGGGAGCAAACGGG